CAGUCGCACGGUAAUACGGAGGGUGCAAGCGUUAACCGGAAUUACUGGGCGUAAAGCGCACGCAGGCGGUUUGUUAAGUCAGAUGUGAAAUCCCCGAGCUUAACUUGGGAACUGCAUUUGAAACUGGCAAGCUAGAGUCUUGUAGAGGGGGGUAGAAUUCCAGGUGUAGCGGUGAAAUGCGUAGAGAUCUGGAGGAAUACCGGUGGCGAAGGCGGCCCCCUGGACAAAGACUGACGCUCAUGCACGAAAGCGUGGGGAGCAAACAGGAUUAGAUACCCGAGUAGUCCCUGUCUCUUAUACA
rnacentral:rRNA from 1 species